GACGAACGCUGGCGGCGUGCUUAACACAUGCAAGUCGAACGGAGAGUCCCUUCUUUUGUGGGGUGCUCGAGUUGCGAACUGGUGAGUAACCCUUUAGUACCCUGCCCUUCUCUUUGGGUUAACUUCAUGCAACUUGGGCUCAUACCGGGUAGGAUCUCCUGCUGCAUGGUCGGCGUUGGAUAGUUUCGGCGGUUGGGGAUGGACUCGCGGCUUAUCAGCUUGUUGGUGGGGUAGUGGCUUACCAAGGCUUUGACGGGUAGCCGGCCUGCGAGGGUCACCGGACACAUUGGGACUGAGAUAAGGCACAGACUACUACGGGAGGCAGGAGUGGGGAAGAGAGAAUAAGGGGCGGAAGCCUGAUGCAGUCAAGCCGCGUGGGGGAAGACGGGAUGGGGGUUGGAAACCGAUGUCGCCUGUGACGAAGAGUGAGUGACGGUAAUGGGUAAAGAAGCACCGGCUAACUACGUG
rnacentral:rRNA from 1 species